GAUGAACGCUGGCGGCGUGCUUAACACAUGCAAGUCGAACGAAGCACUUUAUUUGAUUUCCUUCGGGACUGAUUAUUUUGUGACUGAGUGGCGGACGGGUGAGUAACGCGUGGGUAACCUGACUUGUACAGGGGGAUAACAGUUGGAAACGGCUGCUAAUACCGCAUAAGCGCACAGCAUCGCAUGAUGCAGUGUGAAAAACUCCGGUGGUAUAAGAUGGACCCGCGUUGGAUUAGCUAGUUGGUGAGGUAACGGCCCACCAAGGCGACGAUCCAUAGCCGACCUGAGAGGGUGACCGGCCACAUUGGGACUGAGACACGGCCCAAACUCCUACGGGAGGCAGCAGUGGGGAAUAUUGCGCAAUGGGCGAAAGCCUGAUGCAGCGACGCCGCGUGAGCGAAGAAGUAUUUCGGUAUGUAAAGCUCUAUCAGCAGGGAAGAUAAUGACGGUACCUGACUAAGAAGCACCGGCUAAAUACGUG
rnacentral:rRNA from 1 species